AAACUUAGUGUUAUUGAUUGAUAGAGGGCAUGCACCCCUGUAUCAGUGUUAAAUACAAACCUUAGUGAAUACAGUAGCUAUGUAAGUGUAUAUUGAGGGGGAACCGAGGUAAUGAUUCUCAAUAAGUUGGGUUAGGGGGUUCUAGCACUUCCCUCCCUCAACAAAAACUAACAAUUUAGAACUAAGCUACGUUCCAUGGUCAGACAUGAAUGAUAUGGUGGCUUCUGGCAUCCUCAGGGACCCAGGGCGUCGCAGAGAUCGGGCACACAGGGAGCGCGUGAGAAAGAAAGA